AAACAUUUAAUUAUGAUAAAAAUAAAACACAAUGGAGCUCAAGAUCACCAUCAGAUUAUAAGGUAGGAUCAAAUUCAGUACGCUCAUAUGAACACGAAAGAUAGCCAUUCGACAUAAAGUUCAAAACAAAAGCGAGAAGACAUAAGAGGAGGUAAUAAGAACAGGAACAUAAUAAAGGAGAGCCAACUACGGAGCCAUAAGCACUAAGCAUACUAAUAAGUGGCGUAAUUCAUCUGCCUUGUCGAUGUACUUCAUAGGGCCGUCUCACACGAACCUGAUACAAACAAACAGUGAGACAUAUAGAAUAGAAUGAUUCCUAAUAUCUUGAACUUUACCAGUAGGCCAAUAAGAAUCAAUAUGGUCCAAGUAAGAAAUGGGCCUUAUCUAAUACAUCAAUCAAAUCCAAGGAAAUUUAUCUUUGUAUUCAUCAUUCCAUCAACCAUUAAUAAAACAAGAGUCUACUGAAGAGUCACUCAGAAACAAAGUUUGUUUGGAUGCACAAAUUGAGAAGCCACCAAACAAUAUAUGAACAUAAAAGUAUAUUUCAUGAUUGGUUUAGCAGCUUAAGAAAGUGAUCAAAUCGUCUCUCUAAACUAUAUCAUCAUUGGCACUAAAAUGCAUAUUCAACAUUGUCGACGAAAACAGAAUACACAAUCCUUGUUGAUAGCUAACCGUGGAUUUAAUAUUCUACAACCUAGACCUCGUGUUAUCAAUGCACAGAACAAAAAAGAACGUAUAUGCAGCUUCAUCACAAAAUACAUGAACGUAUAACAAAAACUCGGCAUAUAGAAAACUAAAGUCUCCAUAACAUAGACCAACGGGAAUGAUGACAGGAUGCAUCGAGAAGAAAGAGCAUUAUAUGUACAAUAAGACAAAAUUACCUUGAUAGGCCUAGUAGCAGUUAUGAAACGACAGAGGUGGCAUCUAAUAGCGCACCCUGCGCCCUUUUUUCCAGAUGUCCUUCCAAGCGGCUGCUUGUGUCUUCCAUUAUGCUCAGCAGAAAAUCAUCGACGACCGAUGCUUUAAAGAAGCAACAAGAUGUGAGUCCACAAGUGAUAGUUGGGUAAGUAACACACAUGCGUGUUAUCAAGCCAUCUACAGGUCAGUUACCAAUCGAUCCAUAUACAUAGGGACCUCAGAAUCUGUAACAAUAGUUGCUCCAUCAAUACACAAUAAGAAAGCAUAGAAGGCCAAUGUUUUUCCUACCAAGCCAUAUGGAUCUUCUGAAAGCACAAGAAAGGAUAUCAUCUUACAGUAGCUAGUUAACAGCACAACAAAAGGGAUUAUAAACUAGCCAGAUCAUAUACAUCUUCUAAUCCAGGGCUUUGUUUAAAAGGGCUUCAAAGGGCAAAUCGUCGACAUUCUAGUUUGCCUUUUUGUUUGUGAUUUACAUCUGCUCAUCCAUAGCUUUGUUGUUGUUUAGGGAUCUGUCUAGGGUUUGCUCUCGUGCUUUUCCCCAACCUCAGUACGCGCCACCACGGCAGGCGCCAGACUCCUUCGACACAGGUCUACCUUUUUCUUUCCUUGGUGUUCGUCUUCUAGAUGGAUUUUAUCCUUUGGGUUACUGCAGUAGAUUAUGUUGUCGCGAAUGACUGUAUUUCAAUAUAUACUAUCCGAGGAUGAUGGCAUAGGUAUAUGAUCUGACUGGUUUAUAAUCCCUUUUAUUAAGAUCAGAUAAGGUUGGGUAUAUCCGAUCUUUACAAAGGGUGAGAAUGUGUAUAAUUUGUGGUUUUUUAUUGGUGCAAUGCUAACUAAAAUGAUAAAACAUGUUGCUUUAGAUAAUACAACAAAUUAUGAAACCUUAGGACACCUAAAAAAUGAAGUAGCAUAUUCUACUGUGAAGCAUUUGACGGUAUCGAUGAAGUGCUUUUGAAUAGAAUAUGAAUUUCCCAAAUGCACCGCUUACCUUGAUUUGCAAUGUUCUAAAGCAAAUAAUAUAAGGUAUUAUGUAUGAACUUUAAUACUGGUGAUAUAGAGAGAAAAUGAACAUGUGCAAGGUUACUGAAUAACCAGUCAAGAACUGAUAUUUGUAUGGAAGUAUGGAUUGAGAAAUCUAACACCUGAACAAGAAGGUCCAUGCUUUAUCAUGUCAAAUAAAUAAGAAGAGAGCACCUCGACAAACAUACACUUAUUGCCAUUUCCUCAAACAUCUUGCAUUUUGCUUAAAAGCGUCACAUAUGUGCAGCAACAAAGUGAUAUGUUCUCUAAGAGCAACUACAAAAAAAUGAAUCUGAAUUAGGGGAGAAGAUGAUUACUGACAUGGAGAAAAAUCAACUUGGAGAGAGAGACCUGAGAUCAUGUAAUUAACUGCGAGGACAACAAUGAAAGUAACAUGCAUCAUUUCUUUCUUCUGCUGUCAGAAUUGAGAU
rnacentral:lncRNA from 1 species